rnacentral:rRNA from 1 species
UACGAAGGGGGCUAGCGUUGCUCGGAAUCACUGGGCGUAAAGGGUGCGUAGGCGGGUCUUAAGUCGGGGGUGAAAUCCUGGAGCUCAACUCCAGAACUGCCUUCGAUACUGGAAGACUUGAGUCCGGGAGAGGUGAGUGGAACUGCGAGUGUAGAGGUGAAAUUCGUAGAUAUUCGCAAGAACACCAGUGGCGAAGGCGGCUCACUGGCCCGGUACUGACGCUGAGGUGCGAAAGCGUGGGGAGCAAACAGG